CUGAGAUCUAUAUGGUGCAGCCAGAAC
rnacentral:sRNA from 1 species